rnacentral:misc_RNA from 1 species
GAUGAAGAACGUAGCGAAAUGCGAUAAGUAAUGUGAAUUGCAGAGUUCAGUGAAUCAUCGAAUCUUUGAACGCACAUUGCGCCCGCUAGUAUUCUGGCGGGCAUGCCUGUCCGAGCGUCAUUUCAACCCAUCAAGCUUAGCGCUUGUGUUGGAGCCCUGCGGCCGCCGCAGCCUCCUAAAAUCAGUGGCGGGCUCGCUAUCACGCUGAGUGCAGUAGUAUUCUUCUCACUCCUGUGGUGUAGCGGGUAACCAGCCGUAAACCCCCCCAUCUAUAAAGGUUGACCUCGGAUCAGGUAGGAAUACCCGCUGAACUUAAGCAUAUCAAUAAGCGGAGGA